AUUGAACGCUGGCGGCAUGCUUUACACAUGCAAGUCGAACGGUAACAGGCCUUCGGUUGCUGACGAGUGGCGAACGGGUGCGUAAUGCAUCGGAACGUACCCAGAGGUGGGGGAUAACGCAGCGAAAGCUGUGCUAAUACCGCAUGUGAUCUGAGGAUGAAAGCGGGGGACCGAGCAGCAAUGUUUGGCCUCUCGCCUUUGGAGCGGCCGAUGUCGGAUUAGCUAGUUGGUGGGGUAAAGGCCUACCAAGGCGACGAUCCGUAGCUGGUCUGAGAGGACGACCAGCCACACUGGGACUGAGACACGGCCCAGACUCCUACGGGAGGCAGCAGUGGGGAAUUUUCGACAAUGGGCGCAAGCCUGAUCCAGCAAUGCCGCGUGAGGGAAGAAGGCCUUCGGGUUGUAAACCGCUUUUGGCAGGAACGAAACGGUGUCCGCUAAUACCGGGCGCUAAUGACGGUACCUGAAGAAUAAGCACCGGCUAACUACGUG
rnacentral:rRNA from 1 species